rnacentral:lncRNA from 1 species
ACCUGCCUGGCUCUGCUGGUCCCCUGGGGUUCGGAGAGCUGGGGAGAAGCUGCAGCUCCCGGCCCGGCAGCGGCCGUACCCACACACGUCCUUCCAACUGCCUUUGAUAGAGAUAUUUCCUGAUGUGGCUUGGGUAGGAUAAGGAAUUGCAGUGACAUUUUGAAGAUCUUUUCUAAGCUAAAGUCCAUUUCUCAUGGGCUGUUCAAACUCUCCAGCCCAACCUGGUUUUGCUAUUUCAAAGGUAAGAGUUGAAUGCAGAGAGUCCAAAAGAAGCAAAAGAUUUAGAAAUAGCUCCGCAUUAGAGUUUCGAGGGGGAUUAUGAGAGGUUUUGUGCGUAAAACUCUGGUAUGAUCUCAGAGGAUGUUUUGAAAUCCCCAACAAAUUGCUUCUCACAGCGGCUGGAUUAAGGUCUGUGGAAUAAAUGCAGCUACCGGCCUGUGCUACAUCACGGAAAGGAAUGAGUAACAAAGCCUUUUAUUAUUCUAAUUAUUAUUGUUGUUUUUAUUAUUAUUAGUGAAACAGCUCACUGUUGGCAUAUAUUGUGAUUGUCUUUCAGCUCUCUUGUACACUUAUAACUACAAAGAUUAGAGACGCUCCUGUCAUGAGCACAUAACUCAUGCAGUCUCCCUCUGGCUUUCCUCUGGGUCACAAUGCCAAAGUUAAAACAGUCAGAAGAGAACAGACAAGCCUGAGGAUUUUGGUGAAGUCACUGUUUCCCACAGACCGUGCAGCAACUGGUGGCUACACAAAAAGAACAGAAAGCCAAAGCGGGGAGGUCAGGAUGUUUAUAAGGACCUGGAAUUCCAAAAAAAAAUUCAUUUUAUAUUUUAGUUUUGAUUAUUGCCACUUAAGCAUAAUGACAACAUCCAUCCUGUUAAAAGUUCGGUUUCAUUGGAAAUUGCUUUUUUUUUUUUUUUCGGUGAACCACUGCUAAUCAAAAAUGUAUGAGCUAUGCUUUCAUAAGUAAAAAACCAGUAAAAUAGUCUCAUAAGUGAAAUAAAAUAAAAAAUGGAGAGUGAACA